UAUCAUUUUUCAUGGUGCACCUGGGAUGGAAGUGAAGAUAAAUAGAUUUGUGUAUAACUCUCUGGUUCCCAGAGUUUUCUGGGCUACGGUAUUGCUUUAAGAAAUCCUGAAAUAAUAUGAAAACUGCCUUCUCUGUAGGGGCCGUUUGUGGACUUUUGCACUGUUGCCUGCCCAAACAGGCUCUGUGGGUCAGCAUGGGGCUGUUGGUACCACCAUGGUCAGGCGAAGGGAGAGCAGGCAGGGGCAGUCUGCUGGGAGAAGGACAACCCAGGCAUGAAAUCAACAGCAGGGACACGAUAUUACAGUUUAGAUGAAGCUUACCAGCUACUACAUCAAGGGCAGCAGAAUCAUUAUGGAUUGUAACAUGGUGCUUUGCCUAAUGCUUGCUCACAGAAUUGGCAUCCAAACAUCUGAUCCAUCCAAACACAUCUGAGCAUGGUUUUUAGAAAUGUAGCAGUUUCAGAACAUAACUCCAAGCUGUAAAGAGUCCACUACAGAUUAUGUGGAUUUUAAUGGUAGUUUUAUAGCAAUAUUUCCUUUGCUUUAGAAUAAAACUGUCUGCAGAUUUUAAGUAUAAACUUUCAUUAAGAUAGUUGAAGAUUUUAAGGAAACUGUAUAUUGAUCCUGUUACUACAUUCAUUUUUCCUUAGGAUUUGCAGUUUAUGUACUUAAUGAUGUGGUUAAAAAACCCAGACACAUUUUUAAAAAUCCUUUGAAAUAUCCAGAAAAAUAAUCACUUUUCCAGUUAUGUCAUAAAAAUUGCUUGAGCAGCUUUAUUCAUGUUUGUGAUUUGGAAAUGUGAUACAUUUUCAGACGGAUGGCUUAUUUGGAAGGGACUUGAAGUAAUAACAAUGAACCUUCAGUAAAUCUGCCUGUCUCAAAGGUACUUCAGAAUAGCAAAAUGGAAACUUUGCGACAGCAGCACUGGAGAUCAGAUAGCAAAAGAGAUUGCCCACUAUUCUCUUGUUGAGGCAGAAGAAAGAGUAAAAUGGUUAUUGCAAUAUGUAGAUAGACAUACACCUCUGAUUCACAAACUCAGCUUUUUCUGGCACAAGUAGGAAAUAAAGAGUGUGAUGUGAGAUUGUAGCCAUAUUUUCCUUCUGCCAAAGCUGGAUGUGAUUUUUUUGGUUGUAAGCACAUGUUCCUGCAUGUUUCAUUCAGAGCAGGAUCUGUCUACAAAGGACAACUGAUUUCAGAUUAGCUACUUCUCUGUGAUUUCAUUGUGGUCUGUUGUAUCUAAAUCUUGAAUAUAAUGCAAUGAAUACACUGCUAUAAAAGCAGACGCUAAUCAGUCAUUUUCUAGCCAACUCUUAGUGCAACUUAUUCUUUGUUUCAUUAUCAUUUGUAGUCAUGGCAUUGCUCCCAUUACAGCUUUUUCUUUUCUUUCAGUGGUAUUAACUUGGGCCUUUUAAUCAGUCUCAGACAUAAAUUUCACCUGUGAUUCUCAGGGCAAAAUUAAUAUAAUUAGUUUUCUUGGACAGAUUUGACAGUCUGAGGGAAUAUCAUGUUGAGAGUCUGUGUAUUACCUUGCUUUGAGCACUGAUAGAUGUUCUGGUUAAGAUCAGAUGAAAAUCCUUCAAAAAAAAAUGGCAGUGACUGUUUUUAUUUGAUUUGUAAUAUAUAUUUGCCUAUAUACUACAUCAACUGUACUUAUGUGUGAAGACUUCAAACAUACCUGUGUGAAUACAUAGUCAUUAUUUCCUAUAAAAGGAUUGCAUUAUGUUACGUGCCUGAUAUUAAUGUUUGUCUUCCCCCAUGCAACUCCCUCCCCAAGAGCAGUGAGCAAACCUAACACUCAGUAACUUGUUUUCCUAAAUUCACUCUUGAGAGUAAUCUUCCUGACUUUGAUGAGAGCAUCCAUGCUAUUCCAAGUGAACAGGAUGGUGAUGUUUGGGCACAUGAUCCAGGACCUUUCAUCUCAGAGCUUACAUUACCUGCUUGUUGCUUUUUUUUUUCCAUUCUGAGAGAUGUACCAUAAACUGAGGAACCUGCUUUGUUCUAUAUUGCCUAUAAGUGGCCAAUUCCUAAAAAAAAAAAAAAAGACAAAACACUGGGUUACAAUUUUAUGUUUUGGUGAGCACAAGAACUGACUUUUAAGAAUAUAAGAUUAUAUAUGUUAUAAGUGUGCAUAAUAGCACUGGAAAUGGUAGAGGACAGUCCCAAAUACAAGCACAAGCAGUGAUGUGCUUCUAUGUCACCAAAAAGCGUGGAUUGUUGCCUCCAUUGUUUUUAGAAGUAGUCAGAAAAGCCUAACCCAAAUGAAAAUAAAGAUCUUGACAGCAGAAAGAGCAGAAGCAUGCACCUCAGUAAAAUUAGGCCAUUAGUUCUGAUUUAGAGUAACCAGAUGUCUCAAACAGACGUAAUUUAAAAAAAAAAAAAAAAAAAAAAAAAAAAGACAGUUUUCUAAUUAAAUUUUGAAAAAGCAUAGCAUUGAUGAAUCUCAGAAUCCUGCUUCCAGCACCAUCUUGAAGCAGUGACCGUUCCCCCUUUCACUUCCCUAUGUUUGUCUCUGCUUUAUUCCCAGAGCCAGAGGAACAAAAAGCUGCUUGAUACCCCUCUUACAAUAGGAAGGAGAUGCGCCGGGUUGUGUGGGAGGAGCCGCUCGAUUCUUCCACGUAGCGCCGGGUACACAUGUUUCGAGCAGCGUUAAGUGUUCCUCGGAGCAGGGAACAGAGUGUUCCAGCAGGAUCUAACACACAGGCAAAGACAGAAAGCCAUUUUCUUCACAACUACGUGUGCAUUAAUACAAGAGCCUGAGCUUGCAGAGGACAAACCUACUGUUCCAGUGCUUCUUCUUGCCUUUUAUUUUCUACGUUGUAAUUCAAUUUUAAUUUUUUUAUGAGAUUGCAUGAAUUUUGUUUUUAAAACAUGAUUUAUUUUUAAAUUCAAGGCUUCAUACAAAAAAGUAUGUGAGAGAAACAACAGUUACAUAGAGCAUCCUCUGCAGUUCUAUAUAAUAUUUUUGGAGCAACAGUUUUUUUCACCUGAGUGUCUUCUGCCCAACAAUCCAGCUAGGAGUAAGUGGAGGGGGAGCAAGGUAACAGGGGAAGGGAGUGUUAAAGCCAUGCCCAUCCAUGCUAUGAAACAAGAGCAUUAUAUGUCCCUUGGUACACAACAUCAUAAGCAGGCAGAACCCCACCAGCUGUCUCGGCCCCACUCUGAUGCCACACCACUGCAGCCAGCUCAGGCCCCAAAACUGCUCUGCUUCAUACAAAGAAAUCAACAUGUUUGAGGUGAAGACAGGGAAUGUCUUCAUCGCAUUCCUUUCCUCUGCAUAGACAUGCCUUCAUUGUUUCCACUCAGUUUUGUUACCCUGGAGCUGUAGGGUAUUUCCUGCAGAGUCAUCUCCUCCCACCAGAUCGGAGGUUCUGUCUCAUCUACCAGACAGCAUGGCUUCAAGGGCCAUGCCAAAACUGGUGCUGCCAGCACCCAGACUCUUCAGUUUCAAAGUAAAAAGGAAACAACAGUAAUAUUCCAGGAGAACUGUUCAAAGCUGCUGCUAAGUGUGGGUGCAUGUCCCCUGGAUUUUCUGUAUUCAUAUCACAGCAUAAAGAAAUGGUCAGGGGUCUAUAAGAAAUUACUAGGGAUGGUCAGGGAUGUCCAAGGAAUGGCUAGGGAUGGUCAGAAGUGAUCAGGAGAAAGCUCCCUCUGUUGCUGCAGACCUGGGGGAAUUGAUCUGACCGUAAGUGGUGCAAUUUCCUACUUUGUACCAAAGGCAAAGUCAUUAGUUUAUAUAAAAAUGACUUAGAAAUAGCUGAUAUUACCUGAAAACUGGUCUUCUUUUUGAGGUAGUGGAAUUUACAGUAAGAAAUACAGUAAGAAAUUGAAAACUGCAUUUUUUAAAUACAUGUUUUAAAUUGAUAGACUACUGCAGAAAUUUCAACGCAAAACGGAGCGUUAAAAUUACAAAUCCAGUCUUACUUCUGUGCUUUGUUGACGUGUCCUCGGUAUUCCAGCCAAUGACCAAAACUAUAGCAAGGAUGAAUUUCAGUCAGUUGAGAUUUGAAGAUAAGAGUGGUUACAACCCUCACACUAACACAACAGCCAGGGGGGCUCAGUACCUCAGAGUGCUUUGACUGUGUGAAGAAUCUCACGCUCUUGGGGUGCAGAAUUUUGCUUGUUGCCUGCUUGUGGUGCGUUUGAUACAACACACAUUUCAUAACCGUGAGUUUAAGUCUAUUCUGAAUUUGCGUCAGAUUACUUUGACCUCAUGUUUGUAAAUGCCAGAAACUUUCUGUUCCUUCCCCGCUUCAGCUAUAAAGUAGUAACACUGGCUGCAGAAAUGCUUAUGUCAUCAGUGGAGGUUUCAGAACAAAGCCAAACCAGUUUUACUAUUCCUGAUAAAAGUAAACACCCUCUUCUAUGAAGAUGAAGACAUAAAAGAUGUAAAUAGUAAAUAUGGUUAUGGAUAGGCACAUAAAAAAUGCAAUGUUGUUGUUCAUUAACUCCAAAGAUUGGAGGAAACCAAGCAGAUAUUUAAUGGAGGGUGGAGGUGAAUUUUGCAUGUACUCAUUUCUGAAGCAAAUGAAACAAAAGCAGUGGAAUACUUCUGUUUUAUAACUGCUGUGAGUUCUCUCAAAGUAUUUUUAUGGCUAUAUCGUUUUUAACUUCCUCACUGAUUAUAUAACAUUUGCACCAACUCAUUGAAAAGGUGACCAAGCCUUCCUGCGCUUGUAGUAUAGUGCGUUGUUAUGCACUUAUAUGAGUUGUUUGCCACUUUAUGUGCUGCUCAGAUUCAGUACACUUUCUUCUGAACUUUGCUCUGGAGUUCUGUAGAAAAAGGAUAAGGUUUUACUACAUUGUUUACUGUGCUGAAUGGUUUAGAAAUUUUAACUUGAUAAAUGUAAAGGUAAUUUUCUUUUCCUUCACAUCGUUCAUGACCUGUAGACUAAUAUUCAUACUUGUUUAUCUGUUUUAACUGACAAACCAUUAAAAUGUUGGGAAGUAGGUGAAUUCCUUCUUGCUAGUAGAAGAGUAUGAGAUCAGGCAUUGUGGAGAGACAGAGACAAAGAAAAAGUUUGCUCUUCAAGAACUGUACCUUAUCAUUAGCCCUUUAGUAUGUAGUGUGAAGAAAUCUUGGGACUGGAAAACUUUGGCCAACCCUAUGAAUGAGAAAUGGAUUCAAGAGCUAUUAAAAUUAUUAAAAUACUGAACAUUUACUUUGAAGAAAUUCAGGCACAAAGAUCUCAAAACCGCAAAGCAAUUAUUUUUAUAUCUAGAUUGGUUGAAUGGACUUUUUUCCUUGUAAAUCAAGCAACACAAACAGGAGUGAUAAUUUGAAUUAGUCAAAUUCCUCUAUCAAUACAAAAAUAAUUAAAACCUUUUUUUUUAAUGAUGCCAAAAAUAGCUGAAAAUUUAAACAGUAUAUUUGCUUAUAAACCUCAACAAAUGUCAAAAAUUAAAAAUAAGUAGAUUACCACGUGGGUUACAACACUGAUAAAACACAGUACAAGGAUUUAAAAGUUUUUGUAUUAAAUUGGGAAGACAAGUAGAGUCCCACUCUGCAAGGGAAUAAAUCCAUUUCUGCUUUCAGUUUCAUAUGCACAAUAUACAGUACUUUGAAGAGAUUUGGGGACAUCCAGUAGAGAAAAAGAAAAUAAAUUGGUAAUGCUCCAGCUUACAAGGACAGGAAGCAAAGAUAAUGUACAGCUGAAAGAAGUGGAGCAUUUCAGACGUAUUUAGAUAUAUAAUUCAUACAUCCCACAGUUCAUGAAAAAUGGGUGGUUGGUUUUACCUCCACUUAGCGUAACCUUUUUUGAAAAACAAGGUUGGAUGAAUAUUUCUGCCCUAUUCUGCAGUGUGUGGAGUGGCUGGUAUUUCUAUGGAAAUAAGUAGAAAUAAAAUAUUACUAGAAGAUUUUAAAAGAUACAUUGGACCAGUCAGUGGAGAAGUAAAUAAUUUUUGGAGUGAUCGAAUCACUGGCUCUGGCCCAAACAAAUCUCCUACUUACACUGUGUACAAAAUCAAAGCUAUUUUAAGCAUAACCUCAGAAGUUGGAGGUAAGAGCCAUUUCCCAUGCUGUGGCCAUGCCUAUGCUUUGGUCAAGAGAAGAAAAUUUCUGAAGUAAAUAUUUGGUGCUGAGUACCCAAUAACUACACUACACAGCUUCUAAACAUUUCCUUUGGGCCACCUCUAGUCUGGUCUCAUGGGCUAUAUGUGUCUUAGUGAAUGGAAGACGUUAGAUGUGCUCAUGGGCCAUCAUGGUUCUGCUGCAGCCAGAGUGAAUCUCGUUCAAACCCUUAAGACCAUGCUGUGAUGGGAACUAAUGCAUUGCAAAGUGAUCACAGCAGGGAGCUUCAUUUCCAUAGAACCCUCUUGUGAUACUCUGUCCUUGUUAGCAUGCAUGGUGCAUCCCCAUGGUGCUCUCCAGUCAGAAUCAGACUGCAGUCAGUCCAGCCAAUGUACUCCCACCAGCUUGCAAAAACUUGAUCCAUUUGGGACUGGGGUGAAUUUAAUUCCACAGGCCACUAGGAAUCAGGGCUUCCUUAGAAGGAAUGGUGACAGGUGACUGUCUACUUAUGCACCAUAAGCACAAGGGGAAGGCCUGGUUUCUUAGCAGCAAUCAGGUCCAUCCUGCAGCUGAUAAUGUCUGUCUAAAUAUAUCGGUGAUUAGGGCUACCCUGCAUAGAUUAAAGUCACAGCUCUGUAUCUCUCAUCUGAGGCCCAACAGUUGGCCUGAUGACAGGACAAGCAUGAACUCUUUGACCUGUUUUUCCAAACUGUUUUUAAAGCCUGCUUUAAAUACACUGGGUCGCUCUCUGUGAGAGCGGAUUGCAACAACUGCAAUUCCUUACCAGAGCAUGGCUUCCUUAAACUCCAAAAAUUGCACUAGGGUGGAGCAGGCUGCAUGGUUAGGAGGUCAUCUCUUUAAGGACUUCAAUGCCUCUUAAGUGUGCCACCUCGUUAGAAAACAGGACUAAAAUUUGUGUGUAAAGCACCGACAUAAGCUUUAAGCAAAAGCAAAAGAUCAAAUAAAAGCAUUUCAAUUUAUCACUAUACAAUGCAUAGAAUAUCCUAUUUUAAUAGAAUGCCAUUUCUUUUUAUAUAGGUGCUCAAUUAUCUGUUUUAACUCGUUUCUGGGGACACAAAGUGAUCUUGAACAAGCCGUUCUAAUUGCAUGUCUGUCCGGAGCUGAAUUUAAGUCUCGGCUGCCUUGACAAACACGAUUCCCUCUGCUCUGCACAGAAAUCCUCAAUAUAAUUAUAAAAGAUUCAAUUCUUCCUAAGUUUUUCCCUAGGCAAUGACCUGCUUGGCUUGUAUGGCAAAAUCAACCCCAAUUUUAUUAUCCAGAGGAUAGCAGAGUUGCCUUAUCCUUUUCAAAUAAAUGCAACUGGGAAUUGUGAAAAGGAAAAAAGAAGACCUUAUUCCUUUAAUUGUUCACCAGUUUAGCAUGAAGAAGUUACACACAGGGGAGCCUUGAAACUUCUUUCAUGUUCAUACCCUUUAAUUCAAUUAAGGCCCUAAGCUAAAGCAAAGAGCUAGCAAGAGUCAGAUACUAUUGCUCCUGAUAAUGUAACUGCCAAAAAAAUUAAUGGCAUAUAAACAAUCCAGUGGCUGUUUUGUUACAACAUUUCCCCUUCUGAAGUAGGUUAGUUUGCCUGUUAGAUGACAAAACUAUGGAUGAAUUUCUUACUCUCUUCAAUCUUUGAUUUAAAAUAGGCCGCUGUAUUUAAGCACUUGAGAUGCAAAGAAGCAUUCAUAUUUUCUAAAUGGUCUUCUGUGAUCUGAAGAGAUCAAUGGUAUCUGUUUAGGCUCCAUUUGGAGCCUAGGGGGGAACAAAAGCACAAAAAAAAUGGAUUGAUUUAGAUGGAAUUUGAGAUUACACUCAUUUCAGACCCAUUUUGAGGACUUGUGAGAGGUCAUGUAAAGAGCCAGCCACUUCUGCUUUUUCCUUUUAUCGAAGUAUUGACUGACAAAUGUGUUACUUUAAAGAAAAUGGAAUUUAACCUUAAAAUUAUUAGCGCAAUCAAAGGCAAAUAUAUCAUGGCCUGGAUGUUGAGCCUUAAAUUAAUAAAUAAGCAAACAAAACAGGAAAUGGGGAAGGAGGAAGAUGUUUCAGUGAAUCUAAAGGAAAAAGUGUAGUCCUGAUGAAUACAUUUACACUGACACACAUUCCUGUGUUACCAAAUAAAGAACUCAGAAAUAUAUUCUGACCCAGAGGGAAAAAAAAGAUAGAUAGGUAGAUAGACAGAUAUGUAUAUAAAAUGAAAAAAAUACAUACAAAAAUACAUCUUUAAAAUCACUUCCCCUAAAACCCAUGAAAAUACCUAAAUCUGAGAAAAAUUCCUCAAGAAGUAAUCAAGCAAAGAUACUUAAACACAUUCCAGUGUAUAUUUGAGGAUCCGUGAUUUUUCCAGAUGUGUUGUCAAGGCAGAAGCACCAGUGUGACAAAAGCAACAAAAAAGAGAAGUGUGGGCUGCAUGCAGUCAGGAUGACUGGAUGGGUGCAAGGCCCCAGGUUCUCACCUCCUAAUAGGAAAAGUCAGGUAGCAGCUGUAGCUCAAGUAGAUACUUGCAGAUGCUCUCUCACAGCAAGCAUUUUUAAAACAGUGUAGUUCUGUCUGCUCUUGCUUGCAGCUAUUGAGUGCUGCUUUAGGCAAAGGGUAAAGGAAGUUCCCAGUGAGGAACUGUGAAUGGAUUUGAAUGCAAAGAGACAGUGGCAAGCCAAUCUGCUUGUCCUCUUCUCCCAGGAAUUCGUAAGUCACAUUGUAUCUCAAAAUAAGGGUAAUGUGAGGGGGAACUUUCUCCCCACACUGUACACGCAAAUGCCCAACAUCCUAUUUUGGAAGAAUUUCCUUAGUAAACCACUGUCCUAUGGCCUUUCGGUUUUGUAGUUUAUGUGAGUUUCUCCUACCAGAGCAUUUUAUGGGGAAUAAUUCACCUCUAGCGAAGAAGCUGCAUCUUGGAUUUUGCUGCUACUCCUUGGGAUGUCCACGCUGCCUGACUUCAUUAAUCUUGUUUUUCAUGGUCACUGUACUGUGCAGUUAUUCCAUUAACAUAUUGCAUCGCCUGCGGCUGCUUUAAUGUAUGCUCUAUUCUAUAUUUGCCUAAUUUAUUUAGGCAUUUGUAGUGCACUGACCACUGUAGGGUGUCUCUCUCUGCAGGCAAAUGAGAAGAGCAUAUGGCAUGGAACUGUGAGCUAUUGACGGCGCUCCUGGGAAGCCUUGUAAAAGGGCAUGGCUGCUUUGACACAGCAACUUUACACACCAAUUAUUU